rnacentral:lncRNA from 1 species
UUUAAUGAUGACACACACGCUCAUAUUUUCUAUUUCUAUUUCUUCUUGUACCAGUUUUGUUAUUUCAUAUUUUUUCUGGAAAAAAUAUUCAAAUGUCUGAAGAUUUAUUAUCAUUAACUUGUACAUAAUUCAUGUGAACCCCCUCAAAUGAUUCUUCAAUUAGCCUAUCUUGAUUUAAAGCAUUUUGGGUUUUUCUUUUUUGUUGUUUUUUUGAGGAAGAUUAGCCCUGAGCUAACGUCUGCUGCCAAUCCUCCACUUGUUGCUGAGGAAGAUUGGCUCUGAGAUAUCACGCAUGCCCAUCUUCCUCUACUUUGUAUGUGGGACUCCUGCUUAAUAAGCAGUGCGUAGGCCCGUGCCCAGGAUCUGAACUGGUGAACCCCGGCCCACCAAAGCGGAGCUGGCUAACUUAACCACUGUGCGACUGGGUACCCCAGCAUUUUGGUUUUUAAUUCACAAAUUUUGUUCAACAGUUUUGAAUGGACAAAGAACUUGGGGAGAAGAAAAGAGGUAACUAGCUCAUUAUGGCAAUUUUACACUAUUUUCAACUGACAGACUUUGAGAAUCAUUAGAAGACAAAUUGGCAAGGAAACAACACACGCUCAAGAGUCAAAAGGACAGCUGAACAACAACAAAAAACAAACAAGCUGAUUUAAAAAUGGGCGAAGGACUUGAAUAGACAUUUCUCCAAAGAAGAUAUAUAAAUGGGUAAUAAGCACAUGAAAAGGUGCUCAGCAUCACCAAUCAUUAGGAAAAUGUAAAUCAAAACCACAAUGUUAUACCACUUCACACUCGUUAAGAUGGCUAUUACAAAACAGAAAAACAAACAAACAAAAAACCCCCGGAGGAUCAGUGUUAGCAAGGAUGUGGAGAAACUGGAACACUUGUGCACUGCUGGUGGGAAUUGAAAUGGUGCAGCUGCUGUGGAAAACCAUAAGGCUGUUCCUCAAAAAAUUAAAAAUAGAAUUACCAUAUGAUCCAGCAAGUCCACUUCUGGGUAUUUAUCUAAAAGAAUUGAGAGCGGGGACUCAAACAAAUAUUUGUACACUGAUAUUCAUAGCAGCGUUAUUCACAAUAGCCAAAAGCUGGAAGUAACUCGUGUCCAUUGAUAGAUAAACAGAUAAGCAAAAUGUGAUAUAUAUAUACAAUGGAAUAUUAUUCAGCUUUAAAAAGGAAGGAAUUUGGCAUAUGCUAUAACAUAGCUGAACCUUGAGGACAUUAUGCUAAAUGAAAUAAUGCAGUUAUCAAAGAACAAAUACUGCAUGAUUACACUGAUAUGAGAUACCUAGAGUAGUCAAAUUCAUAGAGACAGGAAGUAGAUGAUGGUUGCCAGGGAUGAGGUGGAAGAGGGAAUGGGGAGUUCUUGUUUAAUGGGUAUAGAGUUUCAGUUUAGGAAGAAGAAAAAAGAGGAAAAAAGUUCUGGAGAUGGAUGGUGGUGACGGUUGCACAACAAUGAGAACGUACUUAAUGCCUCUGAACUGGACACUCAAACUUCACACCAUUCACAUAUAUAUGUAUAGUAUAUUUUACUACAACAAAAAAGAGUCAAAGGAAUCCAGAAAAGAAGUCUGAUGACUGGGAGAACCUAAUUAAUGGCUUAAACUUGAACCAAACUAGUUGAAUUACGCAUCGCUCUGCAUAUCCACCUCACGAGGGACUGGGCCUCCAGAGCCCAUCGCACAGCACUGAGCGCCAAUACUAAUGGACCAAUGGUGCAAAGGCCAGAGCAGGGAAGAAGCAGGGGCCGUUCAGGGGAGAUUUGGGGAACAGGGCUGGAGGAAUGUCUUCCCAAGAAUGAUCCCUCCCACAGAGGGCCCAAACAGUCAUCUGGAGAAGCAGCAAAGGAGCCUUCAGGAUGGAGACUGCACUGACGGAAACUGCGUCAUCCCCAUCUUGUCCUUAGAACACACAUUCCAUAGCAAAAUUUUUGCCUCUUUAAGAAAAUAGACAAAGAAAUUAAAAUAUAAUGUUACAUAUGUUGUUGUUAUA